rnacentral:rRNA from 1 species
GAUGAACGCUGGCGGUAUGCUUAACACAUGCAAGUCGAACGGACUCUUCGGAGUUAGUGGCGGACGGGUGAGUAACGCGUGAGAAUCUGGCUUUGGGUUCGGGACAACCACUGGAAACGGUGGCUAAUACCGGAUGUGCCGAGAGGUAAAAGAGAAAUUGCCUGAAGAUGAGCUCGCGUCUGAUUAGCUAGUUGGUGAGGUAAAGGCUCACCAAGGCAGCGAUCAGUAGCUGGUCUGAGAGGAUGACCAGCCACACUGGGACUGAGACACGGCCCAGACUCCUACGGGAGGCAGCAGGGGGGAAUUUUCCGCAAUGGGCGAAAGCCUGACGGAGCAAUACCGCGUGAGGGAAGAAGGCUCUUGGGGUGUAAACCUCUUUUCUUAGGGAAGAACAAAAUGACGGUACCUAAGGAAUCAGCAUCGGCUAACUCCGUG